AGAUUGAACGCUGGCGGCAUGCCUUACACAUGCAAGUCGAACGGUAGAGUAGCAAUACUUGAGAGUGGCGAACGGGUGAGUAAUAUAUCGGAACGUGCCCAGUCGGGGGGGAUAACGUAGAGAAAUUUACGCUAAUACCGCAUACGAUCUAAGGAUGAAAGCGGGGGACCGUAAGGCCUCGCGCGAUUGGGAGCGGCUGAUAUCAGAUUUAGGUUGUUGGUGAAGGUAAAAGCUCACCAAGCCGACGAUCUGUAGCUGGUUUGAGAGAACGACCAGCCACACUGGGACUGAGACACGGCCCAGACUCCUACGGGAGGCAGCAGUGGGGAAUUUGGACAUGGGCAAAGCCUGAUCCAGCAAUGCCGCGUGCAGGAAGAAGGCCUUCGGGUUGUAAACUGCUUUUGUACGGAACGAACGUCUGCGUUAAUACAGU
rnacentral:rRNA from 1 species